GGGACGUUCGGGACGAGGUCCUGGAGCACGAGCUGACCGUGGCCGACCGGCGGCAGAAGCGCGAGAUCCGGCAGCUGGAGCAGGAGCUGCAGCGCUGGCAGGUGCUGGUGGACUCCAUCACAGGGAUGAGCUCCCCGGAUUUCGACAGUCAGACUCUGGCCGUGCUGCGGGGCCGCAUGGUUCGCUACCUGAUGCGCUCGCGGGAG